CCAUUGUACGCUCCACUUUCAUCGGGACGUCCGGGAGUCCAAAUCCGCUGGGCCAACUCAGAGUUGUCGCGAGUAGCAUCAGGUAUCCACCGCGCAUUCAAAUUUCAAAUACUGACCACUUGUGUUUGUCACGUCCAGGAAAGGAGGGGGGCCCUGGACAGUCGCCCUGUAAGCCAGAACAAGGGACACUGGUGAAUAAGCUGAUUGUUGAUAUAGCCCAAAGGAAAAAUGAGUGAAGGGCUCACCUGAGAUCUUCCGUGACGGAGCUUAAGAGACCCGAGACUGUUAUUCCCCAAAUCGGAGAAUUGGAUUUUAGCUUCCCUUCCCCCUUUCACAAUAACCUUUUUUUUUAUUAGUUUAAUAAAGUGCUUUUAAUAUUUAAUUACUGGUUUUCUUGUGUGUCUGGUCAUUGGGGUGUUCUUGGGACCUCCUCGAGGUGGAAACAAGGAAGGGGCAUGACUCAAGACACCUGUGGUCCGCUCCGACCUGUGACACAUACAAAGCAGCAGUGCGCCAGCCCAGCGUCGCGUCAGGCACGGUUCUGGUGUGUAAAGACACAGAAAACGCGAGGAAGCCACCACGCUUCUGGGACGCUUCAGACACGCGACGCUCAUGCCAUGCAGCCAGUGUGUCACCGGCCUCUGUCUCUCUCUCUCUCGCGCGCGCGCGAUCCCUCUCUCUCUCUCUCGCGCGCGAUCCCUCUCUCUCUCUCUCUGCCAUGUUAAACUUGCAUGUGGUUUUAAGUCCUGUCAAUGAUAAACUUUCACUCUAUGAUGGUUUAGCUGUGCAAUUAAUCUGCGAAUCACAUUCGUCAAGGGCCGGGGAGCAGCUGGCCCGUACAGUUAAUGAAUAACGGAUCAACUACGACAGCCUACAUCGCACAUCCUGCGAUGUGACUAUUGUGGAUUCGUACAUCGCGAUAUCGAUGCUUAAACGACACAUCGUGCAGCCCUAAUUUGGAUGAUAUGUGGUUGUGUCUAAAAGGAACUCACUGAAUCAUCAAACAACAACGCUAGGCCACUGAUAUUGCUCGGGGCAAAAUGCUGUUGCGUGUUCAAUUCGGGGAAGAGCAGAAAUACGUCAAGCUGUCUGAGCUGACAUUCGAUGCUUUCUUGAAAGAAGUUACAUAAAAUCGGCUGCAGAUACCAUGGUGACCAAUGGUUUGAGGGUUCAAAUGAGGGUUCAAAGUCUGUCUCAAUGUAGCUUCAAAAUCUCGAUAUGAUCCCAGCAGAGAAAUAAGGUUCUUAUCUAGUUAAAUGAUCGGUCAUUUUCAAAAUAAAAAUACCACAAUUGUACGUGUUGUAGAAUCUCAAGAUGUGCCACAUGUGCCGUCAUGAUGUCGUAAAGGUCCAUUUGUGGUUAAAAAUUAUAUUAUUUUUAUUUUGAAAACAGCCGAUCGUUUCACUAUAUAAGACCCUUAUUUCUCUGCAGGGAUUGUCAGGUCUUUGAAGCUACAUUAAGACAUUUGACCCUUCAUUUGAACCCUCAAACCAUUGGUCACCAUGGAAGUUCAUUAUAUGGAGAAAAAUCCUGGAAUGUUUUCCUCAAAAAACGUAUAUUAUUUUCGCCUGAAGAAAGAAAGACAUGAACAUCUUGGAUGACAUGGGGGUUGAAACCAGUGUGCAGCAGCAUCUAAACAACAUCACCAAAAGCAGUCAGCCCUACCUUCUCGCCCAGGGAUCCAUACAGAGCCCCAUUCACUCCUACUUUAUUGUGUUUGACAAGCAUGCACUUCCAUGCAAGGCAACAGGUUCAGUUGGAGAUUUUGUCGAACUCUUUGAAGCCCAUUACGUCUUUGGUACGUCAUACAGUCCUUCAUUCGCUCCAUAUGACAUACAAAUGUUAUAUGGAAGGAAUGACACAUCUCUCCUUGUCGUGCCAUAUUGCUUUCUCAGGUAGACAUUUUUAUGUUAUACAUGUUUCUGUCAGAGAUAAGGCAAUGGGUCUGCAAUGUAAAUUCAGUGACAUUGAAAUACUUGAUUUUUUUACAAUAAAUUGUGAGUUCUGUGAUCUAGUGUUAUUGUGCUUGUUUUUAUUUCGAUAGUAGUUGAUAGUUCUGUAAUUCAGUAACAAUGCAUCUUAUAAUUUAUAUAUACUUUUUAAAACACUGUAGAGAAAUGAAAAGUAAAUAUUACACAUAAAGUGUCAUUUUUAAAAAGAGUAAAAUUAACUCUAUACUGUGUAAUUAUAUUACUCUUAACAGUGUGAUUACACUACAGUGUUAAAUACUUUUACACAUUUCAUUGUUAUUUUUUACACAAUAUUGAGUAGAAUUAACUCUAAAAAUUUGACACUGACCAAAGAGUAAAUUUUACACUGAUUUCGAGUGGGACCAAAUGUUAUCUGAAACAGAGUCAAAUUCAACUCUUUAGGAGUUAAAUUAACACUUCUGUUUUUACU